UGCCACACAUGCGUGUGCGCGUGUCGCUGCGCACGUGGGUGUGUGCAACGGGGCUGCUUGGGUGGCUGCGGUCGCCGUGUGCGUGUGUGUGCGUGUGUGUGCGUGUGUGUGCAUGCCCGUGUGCGCACACGGGGUGCGUGUGCACCCGGGGGGUGUGUGCGCGUGUCACGUUGCACCCGCAGGCCUUUCCUCGCUGCCGCCGGGAGAGGUCAGCAGAGCUGCAGGCAGCAGCGCCGGCCGUGCCCGCGCGUGUCUGGGCGUGCAAGGGCGUGCACGCGUGUGUUUGCACCGCGCUGUGCGCGGGUGGCUGUGCACACCCGUGCCCAGCCGUGCGCCUGCCUCCUUGCACAGACGUGCACCCGUUGCACCCGUGCAUGCACUCCCCAUGCACACGCGCGUGCCCCCACCCCANNNNNNNNNNNNNNNNNNNNGGGGUGCCCACGUCCCUGUCCCCGGGUUGCUCCUUUUUGGUACUUUGCUGUGACUUUUAUUAAAGAUCAAGGGGAGAAAAGCAGCGCUUUUGUGUCAUCGUGGCCAAAGUGUGUGCGUGGGGGGGCUCUGUCACCCGUGUCACUUGUGUCACUUGUGUCACCCGUGUCACCCGUGUCACCUGUGGCCCUCUCCCACCUGAUGCUGAUCGUUUCAUCUCUGCAGAUCGCUGGUUUGCCCCCGCUUGGCACCCAGAGGGUGUUUGGGGGGUGCCACACACGCGUGUGCGCGUGUCGGUGUGCACGUGGGUGUGUGCAACGGGGCUGCUUGGGUGGCUGCGGUCGCCGUGUGCGUGUGUGUGCAUGUGUGUGCAUGCCCGUGUGCGCACACGGGGUGCGUGUGCACACGGGGGGUGUGUGCGCGUGUCACGUUGCACCCGCAGGCCCUUCCUCGCUGCCGCCGGGAGAGGUCAGCAGAGCUGCAGGCAGCAGCGCGGGCCGUGCCUGCGCGUGUCUGGGCGUGCAAGGGAGUGCACGCGUGUGUUUGCACCGCGCUGUGCGCGGAUGGCUGUGCACACCCGUGCCCAGCCGUGCGCCUGCCUCCUUGCACAGACGUGCACCCGUUGCACCCGUGCAUGCACUCCCCGUGCACACGCGCGUGCCCCCACCCCACCACGCCGCGUCCUCUGGCCCGCGUCCCACCGCCAUCCCCAAGGGGUUCAGAUGGGGGGGGCCGCGCCCGCUGCGCCCCCCUCCCGGGCUGGGGACCCCCCCGCUGUAGGGUGCAGGCCCUGUAAGCUGGGCGGCUUUAGGCAGCCGUGGCUAUAAGCUGCCGCGCUAAGCCGCCGCGCUGGGCGGUGGGGUGUCCGUAAGCUGCCGGGCCCAGGGGCUCGCGCGGCUAUAAGCGGCUCUGCCUGUAAGCCGACGGGUCCGUAAGCCUCCAGGUCCAAGCUCCAGGUCCAUAAGCCACCGCCAGGCUCCAUAAGCCUCCAGGUCCAUAAACUGCCGGGCUCUAAGGCACGGAGCCUAUAGGGUGCGUCGUCCGCGAGGUGCAAAGUCCACGAGGUACGGUACC
rnacentral:lncRNA from 1 species